AUGUCCAUUUAUAGCCUUUACACAUCAGCUUGUAUACUUGUAUGGUUAAAAAGCUGCAAAUUUCAAGACGCUGACGUCACGUCAGGUCGCCACGUGGGUCAGCCGUUUGAAAGUUCAAGACGUUCGGAUAGACGUUCGAUCGGUCGGUCGGUCGUUCGGAUGUUUGAUUUUGGCACGGAGUACCCGCCAUACUUGUCAGUCAAUACCCAACCGCGUCAUAGAUCAUUACCAUAAAGUUGCCCUGAUUUCAACUCUCCUCGACGCUCUCAACGGCCGAGUCGCGCCGCGCCGCUCCUCGCCGCUGCUCGACGCCGGCUCACAUUGAAAAUGAAUGACUUCCGGCCACUUUGACGCUCUCGACGCUGGCGGUGUGAACGUACAGUGAGAGGAAUUUCAAAUACAAAGAUUGUAACGGCUGCUUUUCUCAAAGAAACAACCGCUGCGCAAGAAGAGUUAAUGCUCCAAAAUAAAUACACAGAUUUAUUAUUUGUACACUAAUUCAUAGACUGACACGCUUAACUGUAUGUUUUUAUUUUAAAAUGUUUGUUUUAACCAUUAAAGGGUUAGCCCUUAUGUGUUGUUGGGGACGUUUUCGUCCACUAGGGGGUAAAGUUGAGUCUUAUUUUGGCCACAACUUUCUCUGUGUUUCAGCUAAUGGAAUGAUUUUUGGUGACAAAUCUUAUUUUGACACAUAUUUUGGGAAAAUGCUUUGAAAAUUUUAAAAAACUUAACUAUACACUGUGGACAAAUUCACUACCCUUUCGUUAUGUUCGUGGAUGAAACCAUCCACUAAAUUAAACUGCUGUAAAAAUGUAUCAGAUAAAUUUUUUUUUGCAUAAAUCUAUUAAUCAACCUCAGUCCUGAUCAAAAGUACCAAAUGUAAAAAAAAAAAAAAAUAUCCAAGAUUUUAACUCUUUAAUUACCAAGUUCAUAAAUGAUGUCACUGAUUUGGGAAAAAAAAACACAAAAAAUGACAUAUUUUCAAUAUAAAAAGUGAUUGUGGACUGGAUAUUUUUUUUACCUUUUAUCACAGUCUUGGGCAUGUCAAAGAUUAGUAACAAUAUUGGCUUUGAUGCUUUGUUAGUUUUUGUGCAGCAUUAGAUUUUAAUUUUUUCUCCCUCAUUUGUUGUUGGUGGCUGUUUUUGCCCCAUUGACUUCCAUUAUAACGACAUUUUUUGAUCGCAAAGCCAUGACACCAUAUAAUCAUGCAUUCUUGAUUGUUUGUGGUUUUCCCUUUUGGUAAGAGGUAAAAUUUGUUAUUUUUACAGUUGAUCACUAGGUGGGACCAUUAACCCUUUAGAUAGGCCUGUGCAAAAAAAGGCUUAGUUUCUGGCUUGUAUAUGGAGUUAUAUGGAGUAUAACAGCAAAUUAUAGUGUUUGUGUGUGUGUGAGAUUCUUGAUUGUUGGUGGUUUUCCCUGUUGGGAAGAGGUAACAUUUGUUAUUUUUUACAGUUGAUCACUAGGUGGGACCAUUAACCCUUUAGAUAGGCCUGUGCAAAAAAAAAAGGCUUAGUUUCUGGCUUGUAUAUGGAGUUAUAUGGAGUAUAACAACAAAUUAUAGUGUGUGUGUGUGUGUGUGUGUGUGAGAGAGAGAGAGAGAGAAAGAGAGAGUGUGAGAGAGACCUUUGUGCACUUACCUUGAUAUAUCUGAAAAAAUCCAAAUAUGCACCUCAGCUCUCAGAACUACAUGGAGUAAACAAUAAAAAAAAUAAGUGUGUUUAUGCACCUGCUGCCUUUUGAUGGUGAAAAGUACGGAUGGCCUAUGUGUGAAAUGCUUGUCUUUUCUUAAUGGUAAAGCCAGUUUAAAACCUUAAAAUCCUGUAAAAAAAAUCUACUUUGCAUCAGAUUUAUGAACAUAAUGUAUUAUGAACCAAAAUGCAAUACCAACUUCAAAUAAGCUGCAGCUCGCUGGAGGGGUCAAGCUGCAUAAUCAUUUCUAAAACUUUGGUACAAGUCAAGCCCUUUCUCGUGUUGCUUGCUGCUCUUCUCACCAUCAAAUUGUCACGGCGUGAUAAAGGACAGGAGGCAACUGCGAGUAAUAAUGAUGUUUAUUGAAACUAUGAGAUGAUGACAGGCUCCUGGAGAAUGACGCAGGGACUUUGAUGGCAGCACAGACAGGUGAGUAGAUUCCCUUGAGUGCGCUGAUAGAAAUGGUGAAGACCUGACGAUUCCCUUGAGUGCGUUGGUGGAGAUGGUGAGGAACAAACACUCCCCUUGAGUGCGUUGGUGGAGUGGGUGAAGGCGAGGUAUCCGUAAUCAAGGUUGUGAUCCAGUGACGACCAAACAGGAAACAGAGCAAGAGGCAGGAACGCUGAACAACGAGUAGACAAACACCACGCGGACCUCACACAACGAUCUGACAAACAAGAGACGAAAGACCAGGCAUUAUAUAGGCUGAUGUAACGAGCAGCACCUGCCGCUGAUCAGCCGAUCAGCGGUAACACCCACAUGAAAACAAUUAACAUGACGUCACAACAAACCAGCAGGAGACGGUGCAUUCAUGAA
ensembl:lncRNA